CUUAGCGGCGGACGGGUGAGUAACACGUGGGUAAUCUGCCUUAUACAGGGGGAUAACAGUUAGAAAUGACUGCUAAUACCGCAUAAGCGCACGGGAACGCAUGUUUCUGUGUGAAAAACUCCGGUAGUAUAAGAUGAGCCCGCGUCUGAUUAGCUGGUUGGUGGGGUAACGGCCUACCAAGGCGACGAUCAGUAGCCGGCCUGAGAGGGUGAACGGCCACAUUGGGACUGAGACACGGCCCAAACUCCUACGGAAGGCAGCAG
rnacentral:rRNA from 1 species